AACGUAGGAGGCAAGCGUUAUCCGGAAUUACUGGGCGUAAAGGGCGUCUAGGCGGAAUGGCAAGCGGGAUGUGAAAGCUCCUGGCUCAACUGGGAGAGUGCGUUCCGAACUGCUAGUCUAGAGGCCAGGCGAUGGGGGUGGAAUUCCCGGUGGAGUGGUGAAAUGCGUAGAGAUCGGGAGGAACACCAGUGGCGCAAGCGGCCCCCAAGCCUGAGCCUGACGCUGAAGCGCGACAGCGUGGGGAGCAAACGGG
rnacentral:rRNA from 1 species